AGAGGAAGGAGAAGUCGUAACAAGGUUUCCGUAGGUGAACCUGCGGAAGGAUCAUUGUCGAAUCCAACACGGACAGACCCGCGAAUCGUCGUUCUAUCACUCGGGCACGGGAGGAUUAAAACGCCUCACGUAGCUCGACGUUGGGGCUUCACAACCUCGGGUUGUCGUCCCUGCGAACAAAACCAAGUUCGGCACGAAUCGUGCCAAGGAUAACCGGAUGAGAUGGCGUGAUCUCGCCCGGCACCCCCGAUACGGGGCACGAGGCGAGGGUCAACACGAUCUCCACUUUAUUCGAAACGACUCUCGGCAACGGAUAUCUCGGCUCUCGCGUCGAUGAAGAACGUAGCGAAAUGCGAUACUUGGUGUGAAUUGCAGAAUCCCGUGAACCAUCGAGUUUUUGAACGCAAGUUGCGCCCAAGGCCUCGGCCGAGGGCACGCCUGCCUGGGCGUCGUAAAUCGUCCGCCCCCUGCCAUCCGAUACGUUGCCGUAUGGAUCGCUCGGGCGCGUAUUCUGGCCUCCCGUGUGCUCGACACCCGGAACGUAGAGGUGCGGCUGGCCUAAAAACGACCGCUGCGGUGAUUAGCACCACGACGGAUGGUGGAUACGAUCGAUUGCGAGCGAUAUUGACCGCGUCGUGUGUUAGGCUGCUCGCGGGCUCCAGACUCGGAGGACCAGCGAAUGCGAUCCCAGGUCAGGCGGGACUA
rnacentral:rRNA from 1 species